UGAGCUAACAUGUUGAUAAUCAAAGCGUACAUAAUCUGUACAGGAAUAGAAUAAUUCUGAAACUUCUUACUCAUGUCCAUUGCAUAAAGGAAAUGCAAAGGUAAGAUACUUGCCUGAUUCGCUGAUUACAAAUCUCAACUUAGGUUUUAUCUCUUUAUCACAACCUAUCAAUAAUCAGAUCAUUCGUUCGAUUAGAACAAUAUAUCAUAACACAUAGUACUGUCUAUUACAGUCAGCACAUAGUCUAAUCACGUCAUCACAUAAUCGCAGUGAUCAUACUUUUAGUUCAUAUUCUAUACUUGAAAUAUUUUUAUACAUUUUUCAAAUAUCUCAUCCAUGCUCUUACAGAAGUCUUUUCUUUCUAUUAUAGGGUCUGACAUUUGUCGGCGUACCGACAGCUUUAUCGGGUAAAUACUGAGUCUAAGACUCUUAUCCUAUACCUCAACAUCUGUAAAUAUCAAACAUUUUAUUUUUAAUCAUUUUCGAAUUUUCCAGAAAUUGAAAAAUUUAAAAUAAUUCAAAUCUGUCACUACCGGGCCUAUAGUGAUAUAACUGUUACUAUAGGUGUUCCUCAAAACUUCAUAACUUCAUAAUCGGUUCUCAAGUCAGCUAGUUUGGCCGGCUAUAACUUUCAAACAUCGGAAUCAUAAUUAAAUGAUUUAAACAUUAAACAAUUCCAUUAUCAUUAAUAAUUAAUUUAUAUUAAACUAUUAAUGAAACCAUUGCCAAAAUAUAAAAGUUAUUUAUAAUAACUCAAACUAUUUUUAAAACAUUUAUAUUACCCUUAAAUGAUUUUUAAAACAAUUAAAAUCAUUUUUAAAUAAUCACCAUUAAUAUAUAAAUAUUAAUGUACUAUUCAUCCAAAUAUUAAAAGUCAUUAAUUAUAACUUAAAAUAUUUUUAAAUCCUUAAUAUCCUCUUUAAAUGAUUUUUAAAUAAAUAAAACCAUUUUUAAACUAUUUAUUUAAUAAUAAUUAUUAAAUAAACUAAAUAUCAUUAAUAUUAUCUUAAUAUCAUUAAUAUUAAAUUAUUAAUGAAAUUAUCCUUUAAAUAUUAAAAGUUAUAUUUUAUAACUUAAAAUAUUUUUAAAUACCUUAAUUUCAUUUAAAAUGAUUUUUAUAAUAUUAAAAUCAUUUUUAAACUAAAUUAUUUAAUAUAAUCAUUAAAUAACUUUAAUAUCAUUAAUAUAUAAUUAAUUAAUGAAAUUCAUCACAAAAUAUUAAAAGUCAUGGAAAAUAACUCAAAAUAUUUUCUUAUACCAUAAAAUAAUUUUUCAUGAUUUUUCAUGAAUUAAAACUAUUUUUAAAUCAUUUAUUUAAUAUUAUAAUUAAAUAAAUAAAUACCUUUUAUAUUCCAAAAAUAUUAAAUAUUUAUGAAAUAUACUCAAAAUAAUUAAAAACUAUUUUUCAGACUUUAAAAUAAUUUUUCAUAAUUUAUUUGGUAUUUUUAAUAAUUAAAAUCUAAUUUUUCUAAUUUUUAAAUCAUUUUUCGGAAAAUCAGAAAUUAAAAUAAUUAAAACUGUCGCUAAAGGCCCCUAUAGUGACAGAAGUGUCGCUAUAGGUGUUCUUGAGCCUACCCAGAUCUUCAUAAGGCAGAACCGAGUGGCCUACUUUGACCGUGAAUAACUCUCUCAUCUUAACGAAUUUGGACAAUCUAUAAAUUGGGUCUUGUAGAGGAAAUACAAGACUACAAGAUCCAACAAUCAUAACCUCUAAACAAACAUCAGAUCUGGGAUAAAUCAGCCAUCAAAGUAGCUACCAAAGCUGUUCUUCACGAAGAACAGUUCGAGGUGCCUACUUUGGACCUCUAUAACUUGAUGAUCGUGUAACGUUUAUGUGAUAUAUCAAUUGCAGUGUGUAGAAAACAUGUAGGAGUACAACUCUAACACUUAAUAUCAUCAUAAAAACAAGAAAUCAAGAAUCUAAAGUAUGGUCAAACCUUGUCAGAAAAAUUAAUACUUAGAAAAUUCUGGGCUGCCCAGAAUUUUCUGGUCAAUGCCGGUCAACCCACUUUGACCUUAUAUAACUCUUAAUCCGUAAUAUAUAUGGACCUGAUUCUUUUUGGAGGUUAAAUACCACAUAACGUGCUACACAUAUCAACCUUUAGAACACAAAAUACAUUAAAUAUGACCGACCUAUAAGGCCUGACAUUUGCCAAAAAAACAUUUCUGGACACUUAGAAUAUUUUCUGGGUUUGAAAAACAGCCGGUCAAUGCCGGUCAACCCACUUUGACCGCUUAUAAAUCCCGAUCUGAAAUAGAUAUAGACCUGAUUCCUUUUGGAGUUUAAAGACCACAUAACAAGAUACACCUAAAAACUUUUAAACAACAAAAAAUGUAAAUAAUCACAGAGAUAUAAGUCUUGACAUUUGCCCAAAAAUCACAGAAUUCGGUUUUUCCAACUUGCUCAAAUCUUCAAAUUCGUGCACUUUGAUGUUAUGGGUUCAUGAUUUUACAACCCAGAACAUUAAUAGACUCCCUAUUACACUACUUUAAACAAUCAAUUGCAUCAAUUAACAUCGAAUCAAAGGAUUUCAAAAUUAGGGAAUUUCAUACCUUUUCUAGCUUCGAUUUUUGAUUUUUUUGGCUUUGAUGCUUCUGAUUUGUUGUUUGUGAUGGUUGGGCUUUGAUUAGGAGCUUAUGGGAAAGAUAAUUUCAUUGGUAAGAGGUUGGGAGAGAUAUGGCCAAGUGUUUGUGAAUAAAUAGGCUAAAUAAUGUACAUUUCUCUCUCUUAAAUUAUGUAAAUCAUGUAUGCAAUCAUG
rnacentral:lncRNA from 1 species